GACGAACGCUGGCGGCGUGCUUAACACAUGCAAGUCGAGCGGUAAGGCCCUUUCGGGGGUACACGAGCGGCGAACGGGUGAGUAACACGUGGGUGACCUGCCCUCAGCUCUGGGAUAAGCCUGGGAAACCGGGUCUAAUACUGGAUAUGACUCCAUGACGCAUGUUGUGGGGUGGAAAGCCUUGUGCGGCUGAGGAUGGGCCCGCGGCCUAUCAGCUUGUUGGUGGGGUGANGGCCUACCAAGGCGACGACGGGUAGCCGGCCUGAGAGGGCGACCGGCCACACUGGGACUGAGACACGGCCCAGACUCCUACGGGAGGCAGCAGUGGGGGAUCUUGCGCAAUGGGCGAAAGCCUGACGCAGCGACGCCGCGUGAGGGAUGACGGCCUGG
rnacentral:rRNA from 1 species